GCACACAACAAGACAUUCUCCAGAUCACCUGGCAUCUGGCUGGGGCUACAAGGUUUUUAUUCUGGCCAACGGAAUAUGUGCAGAAGUGAUGUAUACGACCUCAGGGCCCAGCCUCUAAAUAUCCUGUGUCAUGCUCCACAUUCUGUCCAUCCACCUCUCAGUUAACUAAAUGGAAGUGACGCAAGGGAGGACUCCAAGGGAGCCCUAGGGAUCAUGAAGCUACAAAAUGGGAGAAUUGCUGUCACCACAGUUCUGGAAGAAGAAUUGUUCAGGAGAACAGCCGUUGAACUAUGGCAUGCCAAAGAAAUAAACCUUUGUUGUGGUAAUUCACUUGCACUGAAUUUAUUGGAGGUUUUUAAUGCAGAAGUGGAGAAGAUGGGAGGAGGAAUAAAAAACUUCGGAGCAUGGUGUACUUCAUGGAUCAGGGAUCAAGCCUGGAAGUGAUUCUCAGACACGCUUACAACCUGGAGACAGACGAAAAUGAAGCCACGGACCCUCCCCACGAGUGCUACAGUUCUUAAAGAUGG